rnacentral:rRNA from 1 species
AGUGAACGCUGGCGGUAGGCCUAACACAUGCAAGUCGAACGGCAGCACAGUAAGAGCUUGCUCUUACGGGUGGCGAGUGGCGGACGGGUGAGGAAUACAUCGGAAUCUACUUUUUCGUGGGGGAUAACGUAGGGAAACUUACGCUAAUACCGCAUACGACCUACGGGUGAAAGCAGGGGAUCUUCGGACCUUGCGCGAUUGAAUGAGCCGAUGUCGGAUUAGCUAGUUGGCGGGGUAAUGGCCCACCAAGGCGACGAUCCGUAGCUGGUCUGAGAGGAUGAUCAGCCACACUGGAACUGAGACACGGUCCAGACUCCUACGGGAGGCAGCAGUGGGGGAUAUUGGACAAUGGGCGCAAGCCUGAUCCAGCCAUACCGCGUGGGUGAAGAAGGCCUUCGGGUUGUAAAGCCCUUUUGUUGGGAAAGAAAAGCAGCAGGUUAAUACCCCGCUGUUCUGACGGUACCCAAAGAAGAAGCACCGGCUAACUUCGUG